rnacentral:rRNA from 1 species
CCUACGGGGGGCUGCAGUGGGGAAUAUUGGACAAUGGGGGGAACCCUGAUCCAGCCAUGCCGCGUGUGUGAAGAAGGCCCUCGGGUUGUAAAGCACUUUCAGUGAGGAAGAACGCCUGGUGGUUAAUACCCAUCAGGAAAGACAUCACUCACAGAAGAAGCACCGGCUAACUCCGUGCCAGCAGCCGCGGUAAUACGGAGGGUGCGAGCGUUAAUCGGAAUUACUGGGCGUAAAGCGCGCGUAGGUGGCUUGAUAAGCCGGUUGUGAAAGCCCCGGGCUCAACCUGGGAACGGCAUCCGGAACUGUCAAGCUAGAGUGCAGGAGAGGAAGGUAGAAUUCCCGGUGUAGCGGUGAAAUGCGUAGAGAUCGGGAGGAAUACCAGUGGCGAAGGCGGCCUUCUGGACUGAAACUGACACUGAGGUGCGAAAGCGUGGGUAGCAAACAGGAUUAGAUACCCCAGUAGUC